rnacentral:rRNA from 1 species
UUUAAAGAGAGUUUGAUCCUGGCUCAGGACGAACGCUGGCGGCGUGCCUAAUACAUGCAAGUCGAACGAACGGAGGAAGAGCUUGCUCUUCCAAAGUUAGUGGCGGACGGGUGAGUAACACGUGGGCAACCUGCCUGUAAGUUGGGGAUAACUCCGGGAAACCGGGGCUAAUACCGAAUGAUAAAGUGUGGCGCAUGCCACGCUUUUGAAAGAUGGUUUCGGCUAUCGCUUACAGAUGGGCCCGCGGUGCAUUAGCUAGUUGGUAGGGUAAUGGCCUACCAAGGCAACGAUGCAUAGCCGACCUGAGAGGGUGAUCGGCCACACUGGGACUGAGACACGGCCCAGACUCCUACGGGAGGCAGCAGUAGGGAAUCUUC